rnacentral:rRNA from 1 species
AGCGAACGCUGGCGGCAGGCUUAACACAUGCAAGUCGAGCGGGCACUUCGGUGUCAGCGGCAGACGGGUGAGUAACACGUGGGAACGUACCCUUCGGUUCGGAAUAACGCUGGGAAACUAGCGCUAAUACCGGAUACGCCCUUUUGGGGAAAGGUUUACUGCCGAAGGAUCGGCCCGCGUCUGAUUAGCUAGUUGGUGGGGUAAUGGCCUACCAAGGCGACGAUCAGUAGCUGGUCUGAGAGGAUGAUCAGCCACACUGGGACUGAGACACGGCCCAGACUCCUACGGGAGGCAGCAGUGGGGAAUAUUGGACAAUGGGCGCAAGCCUGAUCCAGCCAUGCCGCGUGAGUGAUGAAGGCCUUAGGGUUGUAAAGCUAUUUUGUCCGGGACGAUAAUGACGGUACCGGAAGAAUAAGCCCCGGCUAACUUCGUG